rnacentral:rRNA from 1 species
UGCAAGUCGAGCGAACAGAUAAGGAGCUUGCUCCUUUGACGUUAGCGGCGGACGGGUGAGUAACACGUGGGUAACCUACCUAUAAGACUGGAAUAACUCCGGGAAACCGGGGCUAAUGCCGGAUAACAUGUUGAACCGCAUGGUUCUACAGUGAAAGACGGUCUUGCUGUCACUUAUAGAUGGACCCGCGCCGUAUUAGCUAGUUGGUGGGGUAACGGCCUACCAAGGCGACGAUACGUAGCCGACCUGAGAGGGUGAUCGGCCACACUGGAACUGAGACACGGUCCAGACUCCUACGGGAGGCAGCAGUAGGGAAUCUUCCGCAAUGGGCGAAAGCCUGACGGAGCAACGCCGCGUGAGUGAUGAAGGUCUUCGGAUCGUAAAGCUCUGUUGUUAGGGAAGAACAAAUGUGUAAGUAACUGUGCACAUCUUGACGGUACCUAACCAGAAAGCCACGGCUAACUACGUGCCAGCAGCCGCGGUAAUACGUAGGUGGCAAGCGUUAUCCGGAAUUAUUGGGCGUAAAGCGCGCGUAGGCGGUUUUUUAAGUCUGAUGUGAAAGCCCACGGCUCAACCGUGGAGGGUCAUUGGAAACUGGAAAACUUGAGUGCAGAAGAGGAAAGUGGAAUUCCAUGUGUAGCGGUGAAAUGCGCAGAGAUAUGGAGGAACACCAGUGGCGAAGGCGGCUUUCUGGUCUGCAACUGACGCUGAUGUGCGAAAGCGUGGGGAUCAAACAGGAUUAGAUACCCUGGUAGUCCACGCCGUAAACGAUGAGUGCUAAGUGUUAGGGGGUUUCCGCCCCUUAGUGCUGCAGCUAACGCAUUAAGCACUCCGCCUGGGGAGUACGGUCGCAAGACUGAAACUCAAAGGAAUUGACGGGGACCCGCACAAGCGGUGGAGCAUGUGGUUUAAUUCGAAGCAACGCGAAGAACCUUACCAAAUCUUGACAUCCUUUGACCGCUCUAGAGAUAGAGUUUUCCUCUUCGGAGGACAAAGUGACAGGUGGUGCAUGGUUGUCGUCAGCUCGUGUCGUGAGAUGUUGGGUUAAGUCCCGCAACGAGCGCAACCCUUGAACUUAGUUGCCAUCAUUCAGUUGGGCACUCUAAGUUGACUGCCGGUGACAAACCGGAGGAAGGUGGGGAUGACGUCAAAUCAUCAUGCCCCUUAUGAUUUGGGCUACACACGUGCUACAAUGGACAAUACAAAGGGCAGCGAAACCGCGAGGUCAAGCAAAUCCCAUAAAGUUGUUCUCAGUUCGGAUUGUAGUCUGCAACUCGACUACA